rnacentral:rRNA from 1 species
GAGUGGACGCUGGCGGUAGGCCUACCCCAUGCAAGUCGAACGGCAGCACAGUAAGAGCUUGCUCUUACGGGUGGCGAGUGGCGGACGGGUGAGGAAUACAUCGGAAUCUACUUUUUCGUGGGGGAUAACGUAGGGAAACUUACGCUAAUACCGCAUACGACCUACGGGUGAAAGCAGGGGAUCUUCGGACCUUGCGCGAUUGAAUGAGCCGAUGUCGGAUUAGCUAGUUGGCGGGGUAAAGGCCCACCAAGGCGACGAUCCGUAGCUGGUCUGAGAGGAUGAUCAGCCACACUGGAACUGAGACACGGUCCAGACUCCUACGGGAGGCAGCAGUGGGGAAUAUUGGACAAUGGGCGCAAGCCUGAUCCAGCCAUACCGCGUGGGUGAAGAAGGCCUUCGGGUUGUAAAGCCCUUUUGUUGGGAAAGAAAAGCAGCAGGUUAAUACCCCGCUGUUCUGACGGUACCCAAAGAAUAAGCACCGGCUAACUUCGUG